UCUUCUUCUAUUUCUUCUUUUAUUUUUUUCAUUUUUGUAAAUUUUUUUUUAGGUGAGUGCAGGGAUAUCAAGAGGAAAGUUCUGCAGAAACAGCAACUGCAUCUGAGCCAAUGGCCAGCUUCGCGUAAAGCAUGUGUCAUUCCUUCCCUCUACUAUUCAUAUACAGUAAUUCCCCAGCCACAGUGUUUUAUUCUUCCACAUCAUCACGGGGGGAAUGACUGCAGCAGAUUUCAGCAAUCCAGUAGCCAAUGGGGCGACAGACAGUACUCAGGAAAAUGUAAACUGAGAAGACAGACUAGCUCAGUAAUUAAAAAAAAGCAAGCUGUGAGAUAUUUUACUGGAAUCUGGACAAGAAAAAUGUCUGUUCUGGCACCACUAUAACCAAACAACAAUAACAGGUUGUGACCCAUGCUGCACUCAGGGAAUUAGUCAUAUAGCCUUUGUGUUCAGCCUUCUCAUAGGGGUAUGAGGUAAAGCCACACCAUGCUGGUUCACAGCCUUCUGUAGCUCAUCAUGUUAUGAAAUACUAAUUGGCAGAUGGAUGGGGGAGAAACAAGAAAAGGAGUGAAUACUUCGAUUAGGCUGUUCCCAUAGAUCCCUCCUGUGCUCUGACGACUCUUCAGCCACACACCUGGGCUCUUCUCAUGUAUUUUAUUCCUGCAGAGAGUGCACUCUAUUGCUUAUAUGUCAUGUUUCACUGAGGUGUGUGAGGGAGGGACCGGAACAUUUGGAAUUUUUGGCAGUAAUUUUGCAACUUUUGGUAUCUGAAGAGAGGAAAAUACUUAUUUUGGUUACUUUUGCUUUAUCAAGAAAGACCUUGACCCAUUUUUGCUGCUAUGGACUGAAAACACGUACAUCUGUUUCUUUCCACUGCUUAAAUGAAAAACACUGAUGACAUACAUACAGAGAGAAAGCACACUGAGUUUUUAAGGACUCUCUGGCAGCUUUACCAUUUCCCUUCUCUAUGCAAAAGAUGUACGUUAGUAAAUUAAUAUGGCUGGCACUUCCUCUUCCACACCUGGAAAAUCAGUUGCUGGAUCAGUUUUCAUUAAUCCUAAACCUAGAUUAUUUCUUCGCUGUGUACAUACUUGCUUCUAAACUGCACUCGUUUUCCUACAUAGCUAAAAACACAGCUUUGUACAGAUUCUGUGUAAGCCACAUACUACAUUUAAAUUUCUGCUCAGUUCCAGAGAUUAGAUGAUGCUUAAGCAGAAUACAGACCUUAUCCAACCCCUCUGCAGUGAAUUUCUGAGCUCACCUGCAGAUGAAAUUCCAAAUUGCUGCUCCAUUAAAACCAUAAUACAGACAAGAUUAUACGCAGGAAAGUAUAUGGUAGCAAAUUUACUACAAGAUGAAGAUUUUUCAGUGUCUUUCCAGUGAAUCAUAGUCUUAUCUUUGAGUUUCUCUCUCUUUGUGCACACACACACACACACACACACACACAACUUUGAGGAGUGUUAAUCAUUUAGCAGAGAUGACUUAUUUCACCCUCUCUGUUUUCUCUUUUCAUGAAAAUCAGAGCUAUUGGAAGCUCCUGUAACGCCACAUAUUUUCCAGAGCCUACAGCUGCGGAAUGUCAGGAGGUGUAAGCUUUCAUGAAACAGGCCUCAGGAACACAACAGGAAUGACGAUUACAGCUCGGAAAAUUAUUUCCUUAAUGUGGAAGCCCUGGAGACAGCUGGUCCCUUUUCACCUUUCACAGCUGGUGCCUUAUUCUCUUCUUCUGGCACUACGUAGCUCAGGGAGGCAGAAAUCUAAUCAAUUCUUAUUUAUUAUAAUUUAUUAUAUUAUAAUUAUUAUAAUACAUUAUUAUUAUAUUAUUAUCAUUAUGCUACAAUUUCUUAUAUUAUAAAUUCCUCUCUCAAUAGGUCUGAAAGGCCAGCACUGAAUACUUCACAUUAGGAUGCCUACAGAUAGGGAGCUUCUGUGGACUUGCUCAUUUAGCAGAGCGCCUCCAUACAAGAUGGAUGAUAAAGAUCAGGGACUUCAACAAAGUUGAAAAGCUCAUCUACUAUGUGAGUAUGAGACCUCAUCUGUGACCAGUAAGAAGAACAUCUUAAGGUCAAGGAAAGGAUCCCAUGAGUUUUUCAGUCAACUCUUAAAAAGGAAGAUUUCCUUUAAAAACAAUUACUGAUACUUUUGGAUCUGUAGGACACUACCAAGAACAAAAGCUAAGAUGCAGUUUAGCAACAGAUUAGGUACAAGGACUGCUCCAGAAGUAAUGCCUCUUAUAUUAUUAUUUUGGCCCACAAUGUCAGAGGCAGAUCAUCCCCAGAACAUUCUCCUUCAUGAAGCUUUCCAGACACAAUGACCCAAGACUGCAAUGUAGCUUAAGGCUGUUGUGAACAAAGUGCAGGACUUAGUGGUCCUGUUGAAGGGCCUUCCUACCCUCAAGCAGAUCGACGCUUCUUCCCAGCUUGGUGUCAUUUGCACUUUUAGUAAGGGCGCACUCAAUGCCCUCAUCCAGAUCUUCAAUGAAGACAUUAUGCAGGAUGGGCCCCAGUACCAACCUCCAGGGAACACCACUCAUGACUGGUCACCAGCUGGAUUUAACUCUAUUCAUCACCACUCUCUGGGCCCAGCCCUCCAACCACAUCCUUACCCAGCGAAGAGUGUGCGCUCCAAGCCAUGGGCUGCCAGCUUCCCCAGGAGAACACCAUGGAAAACAGUGUCAAAUGCUUUGCUGAAGUCUAGGUAAACCAUGUCAACAAAUUUUAAAUGAAGUAAAGUUGUACCACUGAAUUCCUCCAUGCAGGCAAAACUGCACUACUGACAUUCACUGGCACUUACUGAAUGUUAAUGGAGAACAACCAGAGGAUGUGAGCACACUGGUGUAUUCCAAUGGUAGCGAUGUUUACAGUGGUCACCACCACUGGUGCAGAUUGUUAUGAAUGUGGCAUGCAGCUCUUGUUCAUCACUGGUGAAAAUGCAGAGCUAAUGGUGGUGACUGUGUUGAAAAAUAGUGUUUUGUAGCUGAAAAUUUUCUCAAGUAGCGAUACUGUGCUCUUUGUGUAGUUCCCAUGGAAAUAAAUAACAGGCAUUACAUUCAGAUACACGUAUUUAUACAUAUAACACACAUACAUAUAUCUUUACCUGUAAAAAACAGCUUUAAAGUCUUUCCAUUCUCUUUUGAAAUAAUCAUUUUAAUUUUAAAUUACCCUCCUGCCAAUCAGUAGGUGUAAUCCAGUUGUCACAGUGAUGGUGCUGAAUGAAAAAAGCCUGCAGUCUGGACAGAGCUCCUAAUUCUCAAAAGGCCAAAUAAAUAAUAAAAUAAAAUAAAAUAAAAUAAAAUAAAAUAAAAUAAAAUAAAAUAAAAUAAAAUAAAAUAAAAUAAAAUAAAAUAAAAUAAAAUAAGGAAGGGAGUAAUGGAGUGGGUUACAGUGGAAAACAAGCAUUUUUUUUUCACAUAAGAAUAGAAUGGGUGUUGAAGUUUAUACCACUGGGCUCCAUGCAACUGGAUGCUCACAGAUCUGAUUGGGAUGGGGAUAGGAGAGCAGGAGCAGAUGGUGCUGAGGGCUCUUGACUUGGAUUUAAGAGAGAAAAAUAAUUAAAUACAUCCUAAUAAUGCUAGAAAACCUCUGAAACACAUAAUGAGGCAGACAGUAAAAACUCAGGAUCAGUGUUUCAUGCAAACGAUUUACCUUUUUCUGGC